GACGAACGCUGGCGGCGUGCCUAAUACAUGCAAGUCGAACGCAGUGGGGACGGGUGAGUAACACGUGGGUAACCUCCCAUCAGAGGGGAUAACACUUGGAAACAGGUGCUAAUCCGAUACUGAUUGAUGGACCCGCGGUGCAGUAGCUAGUUGGUGAGGUAACGGCUAACCAAGGCCACGAUGCAUAGCCGACCUGAGAGGAUGAUCGGCCACACUGGGACUGAGACACGGCCCAGACUCCUACGGGAGGCAGCAGUGGGGAAUCUUCGGCAAUGGACGAAAGUCUGACCGAGCAACGCCGCGUGGAUGAAGAAGGUUUUAGGGUCGUAAAACACUGUUAUUAGUGAAGCGUUAUCUGACGAGAAAGCCACGGCUAACUACGUGCCAGCAGCCGCGGUAAUUC
rnacentral:rRNA from 1 species